UUAGGGAGGAGGAACUGGAGGAACAGUUAGAGAAGCUGGAGGAAGCAUGGGGAAGAAAGGAGCAGUUCAAGAAGAACAAUUUUUUAAGAGAAUGG